rnacentral:rRNA from 1 species
AAUGAACGUUGGCGGCGUGGAUUAGGCAUGCAAGUCGUACGGACCGUGGUAGCAAUAUUACGGUUAGUGGCGCAAGGGAGAGUAAUACGUAGGUAUUUACUCUGGGGUCUGGGAUAGCGGCGGGAAACUGCAGGUAAUACCAGAUGAUUUCUCCGGAUCAAAGGCGUGAUUCCGCCCUAGGAGAAACCUGCGGUCUAUCAGCUAGUUGGUAGGGUAACGGCCUACCAAGGCAAAGACGGAUAUGGGGCGUCAGAGCGUGCCCCCACUCACUGGGACUGAGACACUGCCCAGACACCUGCGGGUGGCUGCAGUCGAGAAUCUUCGGCAAUGGGCGCAAGCCUGACCGAGCGACGCCGCGUGCGGGAUGAAGGCCUUCGGGUUGUAAACCGCUGUCGAAGGGGAGGAAAUUGUAGUGGGUUCACCCAUUAUAUUGACCGAUCCUUGGAGGAAGGGCCGGCUAAUCUCGUGCCAGCCGCCGCGGUAA